GUGCCAGCAGCCGCGGUAAUACGUAGGUGGCAAGCGUUGUCCGGAUUUACUGGGCGUCAAGGAUGUGUAGGCGGAUAUUUUAGUGAGAUGUGAAAUCCCCGGGCUUAACUUGGGGGCUGCAUUUCAAACUGGAUGUCUAGAGUGCAGGAGAGGAAAGCAGAAUUCCUAGUGUAGCGGUGAAAUGAGUAGAGGUUAGGAAGAAUACCAGUGGCGAAGGCAGCUUUCUGGACUG
rnacentral:rRNA from 1 species